UUAAGCGACUAAGCGUACACGGUGGAUGCCUAGGCAGUCAGAGGCGAUGAAGGGCGUGCUAAUCUGCGAAAAGCGUCGGUAAGGUGAUAUGAACCGUUACAACCGACGAUACCCGAAUGGGGAAACCCAGUGCAAUUCGUUGCACUAUUGCAUGGUGAAUACAUAGCCAUGCAAGGCGAACCGGGGGAACUGAAACAUCUAAGUACCCCGAGGAAAAGAAAUCAACCGAGAUUCCCCCAGUAGCGGCGAGCGAACGGGGAAGAGCCCAGAGUCUGAAUCAGUUUGUGUGUUAGUGGAAGCGUCUGGAAAGUCGCACGGUACAGGGUGAUAGUCCCGUACACAAAAACACACUUGCUGUGAACUCGAUGAGUAGGGCGGGACACGUGACAUCCUGUCUGAAUAUGGGGGGACCAUCCUCCAAGGCUAAAUACUCCUGACUGACCGAUAGUGAACCAGUACCGUGAGGGAAAGGCGAAAAGAACCCCGGCGAGGGGAGUGAAAUAGAACCUGAAACCGUGUACGUACAAGCAGUGGGAGCACCUUCGUGGUGUGACUGCGUACCUUUUGUAUAAUGGGUCAGCGACUUAUAUUUUGUAGCAAGGUUAACCGAAUAGGGGAGCCGUAGGGAAACCGAGUCUUAACUGGGCGUCUAGUUGCAAGGUAUAGACCCGAAACCCGGUGAUCUAGCCAUGGGCAGGUUGAAGGUUGGGUAACACUAACUGGAGGACCGAACCGACUAAUGUUGAAAAAUUAGCGGAUGACUUGUGGCUGGGGGUGAAAGGCCAAUCAAACCGGGAGAUAGCUGGUUCUCCCCGAAAGCUAUUUAGGUAGCGCCUCGUGAACUCAUCUUCGGGGGUAGAGCACUGUUUCGGCUAGGGGGUCAUCCCGACUUACCAAACCGAUGCAAACUCCGAAUACCGAAGAAUGUUAUCACGGGAGACACACGGCGGGUGCUAACGUCCGUCGUGAAGAGGGAAACAACCCAGACCGCCAGCUAAGGUCCCAAAGUCAUGGUUAAGUGGGAAACGAUGUGGGAAGGCAUAGACAGCCAGGAUGUUGGCUUAGAAGCAGCCAUCAUUUAAAGAAAGCGUAAUAGCUCACUGGUCGAGUCGGCCUGCGCGGAAGAUGUAACGGGGCUAAACCAUGCACCGAAGCUGCGGCAGCGACACUUAGGUGUUGUUGGGUAGGGGAGCGUUCUGUAAGCCGUUGAAGGUGACCUGUGAGGGUUGCUGGAGGUAUCAGAAGUGCGAAUGCUGACAUAAGUAACGAUAAUGCGGGUGAAAAACCCGCACGCCGGAAGACCAAGGGUUCCUGUCCAACGUUAAUCGGGGCAGGGUGAGUCGACCCCUAAGGCGAGGCUGAAAAGCGUAGUCGAUGGGAAACAGGUUAAUAUUCCUGUACUUGGUGUUACUGCGAAGGGGGGACGGAGAAGGCUAGGCUAGCCGGGCGACGGUUGUCCCGGUUUAAGCAUGUAGGCGGAGUGACUUGGUAAAUCCGGUUGCUUAUCAACGCUGAGGUGUGAUGACGAUGCACUACGGUGCAGAAGUAGUUGAUGCCAUGCUUCCAGGAAAAGCCUCUAAGCAUCAGGUAACAUUAAAUCGUACCCCAAACCGACACAGGUGGUCAGGUAGAGAAUACUCAGGCGCUUGAGAGAACUCGGGUGAAGGAACUAGGCAAAAUGGUGCCGUAACUUCGGGAGAAGGCACGCUGGCAUUAGGUAAAGGGACUUGCUCCCGGCGCCGAAGCCAGUCGCAGAUACCAGCUGGCUGCAACUGUUUAAUAAAAACACAGCACUGUGCAAACACGAAAGUGGACGUAUACGGUGUGACGCCUGCCCGGUGCUGGAAGGUUAAUUGAUGGGGUCAGCCUUACGGCGAAGCUCUUGAUCGAAGCCCCAGUAAACGGCGGCCGUAACUAUAACGGUCCUAAGGUAGCGAAAUUCCUUGUCGGGUAAGUUCCGACCUGCACGAAUGGCGUAAUGAUGGCCAGGCUGUCUCCACCCGAGACUCAGUGAAAUUGAACUCGCUGUGAAGAUGCAGUGUACCCGCGGCAAGACGGAAAGACCCCGUGAACCUUUACUAUAGCUUGACACUGAACAUUGAGCCUUGAUGUGUAGGAUAGGUGGGAGGCAUCGAAGUGUGGACGCCAGUCUGCAUGGAGCCAACCUUGAAAUACCACCCUUUAAUGUUUGAUGUUCUAACUCGGCCCCGUGAUCCGGGGUGAGGACAGUGUCUGGUGGGUAGUUUGACUGGGGCGGUCUCCUCCCAAAGAGUAACGGAGGAGCACGAAGGUUAGCUAAUCACGGUCGGACAUCGUGAGGUUAGUGCAAAGGCAUAAGCUAGCUUGACUGCGAGAGUGACGGCUCGAGCAGGUACGAAAGUAGGUCUUAGUGAUCCGGUGGUUCUGAAUGGAAGGGCCAUCGCUCAACGGAUAAAAGGUACUCCGGGGAUAACAGGCUGAUACCGCCCAAGAGUUCAUAUCGACGGCGGUGUUUGGCACCUCGAUGUCGGCUCAUCACAUCCUGGGGCUGAAGUAGGUCCCAAGGGUAUGGCUGUUCGCCAUUUAAAGUGGUACGCGAGCUGGGUUUAGAACGUCGUGAGACAGUUCGGUCCCUAUCUGCCGUGGGCGUUGGAAGAUUGAGAGGGGCUGCUCCUAGUACGAGAGGACCGGAGUGGACGAAUCACUGGUGUUCGGGUUGUCAUGCCAAUGGCAUUGCCCGGUAGCUAAAUUCGGAAGAGAUAACCGCUGAAAGCAUCUAAGCGGGAAACUUGCCUCGAGAUGAGUCUUCCCUGGGGCUUUAAGCCCCCUGAAGGAACGUUAAAGACUAUGACGUUGAUAGGCUGGGUGUGUAAGUGCAGCGAUGCAUUGAGCUAACCAGUACUAAUGAUCCGUGAGGCUUAACCUU
rnacentral:rRNA from 1 species